rnacentral:rRNA from 1 species
AGAGUUUGAUCCUGGCUCAGGAUGAACGCUAGCGACAGGCUUAACACAUGCAAGUCGAGGGGCAGCACAGGUAGCAAUACCGGGUGGCGACCGGCGCACGGGUGAGUAACGCGUAUGCAACUUACCUAUCAGAGGGGGAUAACCCGGCGAAAGUCGGACUAAUACCGCAUGAAGCAGGGGCCCCGCAUGGGGAUAUUUGCUAAAGAUUCAUCGCUGAUAGAUAGGCAGGCGUUCCAUUAGGCAGUUGGCGGGGUAACGGCCCACCAAACCGACGAUGGAUAGGGGUUCUGAGAGGAAGGUCCCCCACAUUGGUACUGAGACACGGACCAAACUCCUACGGGAGGCAGCAGUGAGGAAUAUUGGUCAAUGGACGAGAGUCUGAACCAGCCAAGUAGCGUGAAGGAUGACUGCCCUAUGGGUUGUAAACUUCUUUUAUACGGGAAUAAAGUGAGGCACGUGUGCCUUUUUGUAUGUACCGUAUGAAUAAGGAUCGGCUAACUCCGUGCCAGCAGCCGCGGUAAUACGGAGGAUCCGAGCGUUAUCCGGAUUUAUUGGGUUUAAAGGGAGCGUAGGCGGACGCUUAAGUCAGUUGUGAAAGUUUGCGGCUCAACCGUAAAAUUGCAGUUGAUACUGGGUGUCUUGAGUACAGUAGAGGCAGGCGGAAUUCGUGGUGUAGCGGUGAAAUGCUUAGAUAUCACGAAGAACUCCGAUUGCGAAGGCAGCUCACUGGACUGCAACUGACACUGAUGCUCGAAAGUGUGGGUAUCAAACAGGAUUAGAUACCCUGGUAGUCCACACAGUAAACGAUGAAUACUCGCUGUUUGCGAUAUGCAGUAAGCGGCCAAGCGAAAGCAUUAAGUAUUCCACCUGGGGAGUACGCCGGCAACGGUGAAACUCAAAGGAAUUGACGGGGGCCCGCACAAGCGGAGGAACAUGUGGUUUAAUUCGAUGAUACGCGAGGAACCUUACCCGGGCUUAAAUUGCAUUUGAAUAUAUUGGAAACAGUAUAGUCGUAAGACAAAUGUGAAGGUGCUGCAUGGUUGUCGUCAGCUCGUGCCGUGAGGUGUCGGCUUAAGUGCCAUAACGAGCGCAACCCUUAUCUUUAGUUACUAACAGGUCAUGCUGAGGACUCUGGAGAGACUGCCGUCGUAAGAUGUGAGGAAGGUGGGGAUGACGUCAAAUCAGCACGGCCCUUACGUCCGGGGCUACACACGUGUUACAAUGGGGGGUACAGAAGGUCGCUACCUGGUGACAGGAUGCUAAUCCCAAAAGCCUCUCUCAGUUCGGAUCGAAGUCUGCAACCCGACUUCGUGAAGCUGGAUUCGCUAGUAAUCGCGCAUCAGCCAUGGCGCGGUGAAUACGUUCCCGGGCCUUGCACACACCGCCCGUCA